rnacentral:rRNA from 1 species
CAGUAGCCGCGGGAAUACGAGGGGGGCUAGCGUUGCUCGGAAUGACUGGGCGUAAAGGGCGCGUAGGCGGUUCGUACAGUUGGAUGUGAAAUUCCUGGGCUUAACCUGGGGGCUGCAUUCAAUACGUGCGGGCUUGAGUGUGGAAGAGGGUUGUGGAAUUCCCAGUGUAGAGGUGAAAUUCGUAGAUAUUCGGAAGAACACCAGUGGCGAAGGCGGCUCACUGGACGCGUAUUGACGCUGAGGUGCGAAAGCGUGGGGAGCAAACAGGAUUAGAUACCCCCGUAGUCCCUGUCUCUUAUAC